UACGUAGGGGGUAAGCGUUGUCCGGAAUCAUUGGGCGUAAAGAGCGUGUAGGCGGUCCGAUAAGUCCGCUCUGAAAGCCCGGGGCUCAACCCCGGGAGGCGGGCGGAUACUGUCGGGCUAGAGUCCGGAAGAGGCAAGUGGAAUUCCUGGUGUAGCGGUGAAAUGCGCAGAUAUCAGGAGGAACACCAUAGCGAAGGCAGCUCGCUGGACGGUUACUGACACUGAGGCGCGAAAGACGUGGGGAGCGAACAGG
rnacentral:rRNA from 1 species